UACGAAGGGGGCUAGCGUUGCUCGGAAUCACUGGGCGUAAAGGGUGCGUAGGCGGGUCUUUAAGUUAGAGGUGAAAUCCUGGAGCUCAACUCCAGAACUGCCAUUGAAACUGUUUAGCUUGAGGAUGAGAGAGGUGAGUGGAAUUCCCAGUGUAGAGGUGAAAUUCGUAGAUAUUGGGAAGAACACCGGUGGCGAAGGCGGCUCACUGGCUCAUUACUGACGCUCAGGCGCGAUAGCGUGGGGAUCAAACAGG
rnacentral:rRNA from 1 species